rnacentral:rRNA from 1 species
GAUGCCAGCCAGCGAUCCGCCGAUGUUCCUCCGAUGACUCGGCGGGGAGCUUCUUCCCGGGAAACCAAAGCUUUUGGGUUCCGGGGGAAGUAUGGUUGCAAAGCUGAAACUUAAAGGAAUUGACGGAAGGGCACCACCAGGAGUGGAGCCUGCGGCUUAAUUUGACUCAACACGGGAAACCUCACCAGGCCAGGACAUUGGAAGGAUUGACAGAUUGAUAGCUCUUUCUUGAUUCAGUGGGUAGUGGUGCAUGGCCGUUCUUAGUUGGUGGAUCGAUUUGUCUGGUUAAUUCCGAUAACGAACGAGACUCUAGCCUAUUAACUAGGCGUUUUCCGGUGUCCCCGCCACCGGCGACAAUCAUUCUUCUUAAGGGGACAGGCGGCUUAUAGCCGCACGAGAUUGAGCAAUAACAGGUCUGUGAUGCCCUUAGAUGUCCUGGGCCGCACGCGCGCUACACUGAAGGAAUCAGCGUGUGCCUCCCUGGCCGAAAGGUCCGGGUAAUCCGCUGAACCUCCUGCGUGCUAGGAAUUGGGGCUUGCAAUUGUUCCCCAUGAACGAGGAAUUCCCAGUAAGCGCGAGUCAUAAGCUCGCGUUGAUUACGUCCCUGCCCUUUGUACACACCGCCCGUCGCUACUACCGAUUGAAUGAUUUAGUGAGGUCUUCGGACUGGCGGUAAUCACUAUCGACUUGUCGGUAGCGAUGAACGUUGGAAAGAUGACCAAACUUGAUCAUUUAGAGGAAGUAAAAGUCGUAACAAGGUUUCCGUAGG